rnacentral:lncRNA from 1 species
GUGAGGAAGCAAGGCCUCGCGGUGCCUGCUGGCCGCGUUACACAAACUGCCCAGCAAAGGGGAAGGUGGGCAACGUCUGGAGAGGCACGGAUGGAGACCUUCAGACACACACGUCGAGGUUCAGCAGCGCUGGGGCAGGGGGGCGGGGGUGAGGGGACAUGGGCCAUAGGAAUGCCGUGGUCUCCCGCCAGCUCUGCAAACACGGGGUACCCCCACCAUCACUUCCCCUCCAUAUGCACCCUGAAACCUGCACCUGCCCAGAGGUAGCCGCCUGCAGGAGACAGGCAGGGCAGGCUGGAGUUUGCAGAAAGUCACAGGGAUAACGAUGACGCUGGUUCUGUUUGCCUGGCUCGGUUCUGCUCUGGACAUGCAGGCCUCGAGGAGUCCUCACUGUGACCACACCCACUUUACAGACUUCGAAACCGGGUGCUUUUGGAUCCAGAAACCCAACGACAGGUGGGAAGCAACACUGUUAUCACUGAAAUCAGGCCUAGUCCAGAGAGAUGAAGGAGCCCAGGCUUGGGGGCUGAACCAGGCUCCCCCUAUUCCUGCUUAAGUAACUGAGCACUGAAGACCACAGUAAGUCAUGGGAGCCCGUGAUUCCACACACAGACUUGAGGGUGGGAUGAAAUGAAUCAGCCCAUGAUGGACAGCUGGGAGAUGCUGGGGUGGGUGGGAGAUGCCACGGACUCUGAAGGUUGCCACCAUUAGAACACAGCUGAGACUUUCCAGUAAACUGUGCAGUCUCUCAAACAUGCAUUCCAGCCCCCUUCCCACUGGCCUUCUUCUAUCAUAGAAUGCAGAAAAUUAAAAUACUCAAUUUCCCAGCUUCCUUUGCAG